GUUUGUUUUGCAACUAAUUAGAACUUCGUGCAAAAAGGGUGUCACAUCCUCCAGGCAAUUUGACUAAGUGUAUAAAAGCAUUUGCUAUGUCAAACUCUUCUGAUCGCUUUUCUUAAACUCUUCUCCUUGGUGAUCCAGGUCGACAUCCGUCCCAUGUCUCUCCACGAGUGCUGCCUGCCACCGGGGGUGAUCUGCCCUGAGCCCUUUGCCCUCACCUCCAGCGAGACUUGCGUCACUAAAUACCCCGACACGAUAGUGGACAUAGCGGACCCCAACUCGCCACCACGUUCUGUGAUUUAUCCCGGCCCAAUUCUCACCACUUUCCCGCAACAAACCAUAGUGGGAUCUACUGCCUUGUUCGAUCUUGGGAGCUUACUUGGUUCCAGGGGAUCUCUUGGGUUUAGGGGCUUGUGUGGUUCUGGGACAGCAUAUAACGCAGGAUUAUCACUUUUUGAUACAGGAAACUAUAAUCCUUCCUCUCCUCAAUUCUCCAAGUCAUUUUGCUAUAGACUUUGCAGGCCAACCUAAAUCCGCAUGAAUAUCCAUGGAUUAAAUGCAAAGCAGAAAUGAAAAGUAAGGCAGAUCACGACUGAGCUUAUGGAUAAUGGACUGUAGCAGUGCCAGGCUCCCACGGUUCCCAAGGGAGUCAAUAAAAUCAUGGCUUCCUGGCACUAGACCUGCAUGAGAACUAGAAUUUCCAGACUACAAGAAAUUUUGGUAUUUGAUCUUUAUUCAAAAUUAGGAUGAAAUAAAAAGGAAAUUUUCCAUGAAACAAAAUUUUCAAAAAAAUAUAUAUAUUGGCUUGGUAAAAAUGUUAAUUUUCAAUAAAUUAAUUUUUUUCUUCCAACAUUGACUUUUUAUUGUCAGUUCCUCUUGAAAUAAAAAGCAGAAAAUCAUAUUUUCAAAUUGUAUGAGUGAAAAUCUUGAGUUCUGAAAUGCAAUUUUAUCAAAAUAGAAAUUCACAUGUAUGUUUUUGCUGAAGCAGCAUUUACCAUUGGGGGGGGGGACUAUCAGCUCUACUUGGCAUUUCUUAAAAUCAGGCAUUUGUAAGUCUUGCUUGUGCUUCAUUUCCUCUUAGAUCCAUGAUGUAAUGGCUUCCCAGCUUAUUUUUCUGCCUAUGUUUCAUUUUAUGCAAACCAGGGCAAAAAAAAAAAAAAAAACAAACAAACAAACAAAAAAAACCACUUCAACACUUCAAGCAAUUGAAAUAAUAGAUUUUAUUGUAAAAUACUUCUGAUCAGCCAGAGAAAGAAGAACAACCUAUGCAAAAUCAUGGACCUGGAGAUUCAUUGUAGACCCUCAUGAAGUCCUGGAACUCUUCUGGCUUUAUCCUACCUACCUUAUUUUGCACGUGUAUAUUCAGCUUCUCAUUCCCAUUAAACAUUAUCAUGCAGCAUAA